rnacentral:rRNA from 1 species
UUAGGUUUAAAAUUGAUAGCCAGAGUACUACGAACAAAUGUUUAAAACUCAAGGACUUGGCGGUACUUUAGACUCUUCAGGGGAACCUGUCCCGUAAUCGACACUCCACGUUAUACCCUACCCCCUCUUGCGUUCCGCAUGUAUACCGUCGUCAUCAGGUAAUUUUUUAGAAAAUAAAAGUUAGCAAAUUAACUGUUAGUUAUUAUGUCAGAUCAAGGUGCAGCUUAUGAGGGGGCGGAGAUGGGUUACAAUUUAUAAUUAAAAUACGAAUAUUAAAAUUAAAAUUUUUUUGAAGGCGGACUUGAAAGUAAAAAUUAGUAGAUAAAAAUUUUGGAAUGAGCUCUGAAGUG